UAAUUUGUGUGAUGAGCAAAUGUGUAGAUUGUGUGUGUAAAUCGGAGAUGCCUUGGGUUAUGCCCUCGGAGAAGAUGGAUUGGUAAGAGUUUGUAAUGCUGUUUCGCAAGAGUUGAUUUCUAUAUGUGUUGCAGAAUGUGUUGUUCGAGUAAGAGGAUUUAAGUUUCGCGUGCUAGCCACUCUGACCUAUGAAGAUGGAUUGGUAGUUUUUUUGUUAACUAAACAAUAUGCCAUCAGUAUUUAUGCCUUUUUAUGGGCAAGUGAUUCCUGCAAUUACUUACUGUAUUUCGUAUACUCACCAAGACCUGAGUAGGGCAGGUGAUCUUCUUUUGUCCAUUUUCUAAUUAUUCACGCAAAAGUUGUUGGAGGCCAGAGAGAACAUUGCAAGCUCAUUUGGUUCAAUCUCUCUCUGUUUUCCUGACUGAAUUAGGUCUUGGUGAACGAGGUGGAGGUGAUCGAAGAGGCAAUAUGCUUAUAAAUCAUCUUCACAUCGGGUAUAUUUCUCUCGGCUAUGGGUGUACAUGAUAUGUUUGCCAAAACACUUGCAAAUUAUGGCACACUUACUGGUGAGAGAUCCAUAUGCCUGAUGCCUGAAGUGAAAAAUGUACAAAUUUUAGUUCUUUUUUCAUUGUUUUGAGGUUUUAACCUGACCAGUGACAUGUCUAAGUUUUUUACAGUGUUGCAAGAUGUCCUAUAAGGCUAUUAAGGCAGAUGAUCUUAUUUUCUCCAUUGUCCAAUAUUGAAGCUUUUGUUGCCCAUCAGCAUACAGCCAUACACCUCAUCCAGGUUCAUUUCCUAUAUACUGGUUAGAUACUACUUCAUAGUUGCUCUAGGUGUACUUUGAUUAGCGUCAUCUACUUGUCCCAUCAUCGACAAGGCUAUAUGAUUGCGAGAGAUUAAUAACUUUUGUGAUACGCGUUCAUUUAUGAACUAAAUCAUCAGCUUGCUCAAUAAUACUUUUGGGGUACUCGUGUGGUGUUUAUGGCUGAUGAAAUACGCUUUGUUUAAUAGGACUGGAGACAUUUCUGAUGCUUAGGUCAAAACACCGGACCUAUUCUUAUUUGUUUGUAAACUCAGUCCAGUAAUACAAGUUAGCAUUUUGUCUUAAUUGUUCUUGGAAUUAAAAAGGAAACCUUCUUGUUGUUCGUUCUACACCACUAAUCUGUUUAGCCAUCCUUGAGAAAGGCUCGACGGUUGGACGUGAAAACUAUAUUUGUUCUCCUUUUGCUUCUCUGGUUUAGUUUUAAAUUUAAUCUGGGUUGGCUGUUUGCAAUUGAAAAAAUGUUUGUUUCAUGGCUUCCUGUAAAUGUUGUUAGGCACUGUAGAAGCAGAAAUUUAGAAGGGAAUCACAUUACGGAAGAAGGUUCACAAGAAUGGAGCAUCACUCCUUAGCACGUCUACAGAAACAAUGGGGGUUCGUAUGUACAAUUGUGCAUAUAGCUUAGGUGAAGCGAUUUCUGAUUUGCGAAACUCUCUAUGUUAAGAUAAAGGGAAGAACUAUAUAAUGCUAAAAUUUCCAUUACUCCUAUAACUAUUGAAUCAAAUCAAAUCUGUUUUUAUUCUUUUGUUUGCCUGCUAUGAAAAAUGAGGUUGGGUACUAGUGUGUAAAUAGGCAGAGUGAUUCCAGAUUUGUAACACUCUCCUCGUGUUAAGUUGAAGCAAUACAAUGAUCCAAUUUACAUUAUACAAAUUUAUUUUUAUUCUCAUGAUCAUGAAUAUUGCAGUAUUUUUUGUGUGUAAUGAAAAGUGAGUGGAUCACGUGCUGAAGUACCCCUUUAGACCAUUUUUUUUAUCUUUAGACUAAUUUAACAUGUGUUAUCUUUCUGGGAAUAUAAAGUCUAUUUGCAGAUGAUAAGUCUUAUGAUUGUGCGCCUGCAGCUCCUUCUAUAGGCCUUAAAGUACCUGACACGCAGUUAUUAUGGGCCAAUGAUAAUUGAACUCCACAUUGCUUCUGUUCUACUUACUUCGCCUUUGUUUCGUUCUUGCGCCAGCGGCGCAAAGGGUGGACUCUAGUGUACAAAAGAGUGAACAUGUAAUUUGUCUUCCUGGACAUGGUUGCAGCCAUGCGAUGUGCUUAACCAUUUGUGUAGCUCAGUUUGAAGAUAUAAAAUAUUAUUUUCUUAUGUAAAAUUUGUGUACCCUUGUAGCUGAAUGCUACUGAACACAUGUAUGGAUGAUGAAGUACUGAAUUAUUAGUCUAUGAAUGUUUCUAAACUUUUAAGGUUUUGGAUGAGGCUAUAUGUAACUUUGAUUUAAGUGUAUAUACAAGUUGUGACAUUUGUCCAAAUCAGC
rnacentral:lncRNA from 1 species